CUUGACCUCAAAUCGAGUAGGACUACCCGCUGAACUUAAGCAUAUCAAUAAGCGGAGGAAAAGAAACUAACAAGGAUUCCCCUAGUAACGGCGAGUGAAGAGGGAAGAGCUCAAAUUUUGAAUCUGGCACCUUUGGUGUCCGAAUUGUAAUCUAGAGAAGUGUUUUCUGUGAUGGACCAUGCAUAAGUCUCCUGGGAUGGAGCGUCAUAGAGGGUGAGAAUCCCGUAUAUGGCAUGGACUCCCGUUGCUCUGUGAUACACUCUCGACGAGUCGAGUUGUUUGGGAAUGCAGCUCCAAAUGGGUGGUAAAUGCCAUCUAAAGCUAAAUAUUGGCGAGAGACCGAUAGCGAACAAGUACCGUGAGGGAAAGAUGAAAAGCACUUUGGAAAGAGAGUGAAACAGUACGUGAAAUUGUUGAAAGGGAAACGCUUGAAGUCAGUCACACCGUUCGGGAUUCAGCCUUGCUUCUGCUCGGUUUACUUCCUGUUGGGUGGGUCAACAUCAGUUUUGGUCAGAGGAGAAAUGCUUGGGGAAUGUGGCAGCAUUCGUGCUGUGUUAUAGCCCCUUGUUGUAUACUUUGACUGGGACUGAGGACCGCAGCACGCCUUUGGCCGGGGUUCGCCCACGUACGUGCUUAGGAUGUUGGCAUAAUGGUUUUAAGCGACCCGUCUUGAAACACGG
rnacentral:rRNA from 1 species